CGCGGGGUUUUAUUUUUUUGAAGGAAUAAAAUCCUCCAGAAAACAUACAUCAACUCAAUGUACCACAAAGUCUUACGUUUCUCACGUUUGAAAGGCGCGCUCUACUGAAAGUAGCUUUUUUUUGAGAAUCUCUACUGAAAGUAGCCUGAACAAUGGCCGAGUUAUCCAUCUCUUUGGCACAAAAUACGUCUCGUGCUGGGCUGGGCUGGGCUGGGCUGAGCUUUAGUGCUUUACCAUUUCAGCCCCUCUGCUUCCCUCGCUUUGUGAGUGAGUUUCCCUCCCCUCCCCUCUUCUCCCCGUCUCGAAUUUUGAAUUUCCGUCGAGUUUCUCCGAUCCCCCACUCCGCCUGUCCGCCAUGGACCCGGAGCCGCAGCGGUGGGCGGCGACGUACACCACGCAGCUGAGGCAGAAGCGCAAGGCCUACCACGACGGGGUCCUCCUCCUCCGCCCGGACUCCCGCCGCCUCGUCCUCCUCGACGACGCCGGCGUCACCAUCGACGCCAGGUCCCUCCGCGCCGGCGAGUCCGUGUCCGAGGGCGCCUCCGUCGAGUUCCCGUGCCACCUCGUCGACGUCGGCGAGGCCCAGCACGUCCCCACCGCCGCCCGCCCCGGAAGGCCCUCCGAGCCCGCCGCUCCCAGAGCCGCCUACCGCGGCGGCGCCAGGGCGCGUCACGGCGUGGCCAACACCUGCGCUCCCCGCGCGUUCGUGAACCCACCCACGACCGGCGCCGGCAAAACUGAAGCCACGGGCUCUGGCUGUGCCAGGCCCGCCGGUUCGACGUCCCAAGAGUGGAGCGCGAUGUACACCACCCAGGUUUCGCAGAAGGCUAAGAGGUAUCACGACGGCUUCGUGAAGCUCGUUCAAUCUGGGUUGUAUUCCAAGCAGAUCGUUUUGCUGGAUGAAGAGGGCCAAGUACUGGGGACCAGGCACCUCAAGUCAGGGGAGUGUGUGGAAAGCGGCAAGAAAUGCAGUUUUCCUGGCUAUCUGAUUGAGAUCGGCGAGGCCACAAAUCUAAACAAAGGUGGAGAACCUAAAUCUUCAGAAGAACACAUGGUGCAGACAAGACCAAAGGGAGUGGAGAAUGCGAAUAGCAAAAUGGGAAUUGGAACAACAAGUUCCCUGAAAUUCAUCAGUCCACAGAAGUUCCAUUCUUUUGACAAGAGUAAAUCAGAAGCCACUUCUAGUUCUAACAAGCCAGAGCUUGGAAAGAGUGAAGUUGCAGCUGCUGGCAGCACAGGGAGCCUUAUGGGUUCAGCAGACUCAAGUUUCAAAGAAGUGGAAUGGAGUGUCUUAUACACUGCCCAACUAAUUCAAAAGGCAAAGAAGUUUCAUGAUGGCGUUAUAAGGCUUGUCCAUGCUGGUCCAAAUGUAAAGCAGAUUCUUUUACUGGAUGAAGAAGGUGGAGUGCUUGGCACCAGAUAUUUCAAUCCAGGUGAAUCUAUUGAAUGUGGAAAGAGAUGUCAGUUUCCUAAUUAUAUUAUCGAAGUCACUGAGCUCAGAAAUAAAAUGAAAGAUGUAGAACACACACAUGCUGCUGGGGAGGCUUCAAGUCACACAGUGCCUAAGAAUGGAGAGAAUAUGCGUGAAAAGGAUGACAAAAGUAAAUCUCCAAAGUUUGUUAGUCCAUUCAAGCUCCAUGCAGAUCAUCGGAAGACUAAAACAAGAAGCACUACCGACUCUAACAAGCCACAGGUCGGAAAAUCAGCAUGUAGUAACGUGGGCGAUCCACUUAACUAUCAUGUAUUUACGGAUCUUCAGAGGGGUAAACCAGAUUGCACGGUUGGUUACAGAAGAACAGACCUGGGGUCAACAUCUAGCGACAUCGACAAUCAACAUAAAUUCAAUGAUUUUGCAGAUAACCAGAGGGGCACAUCAGAACUAUCUACCAGCAAAUCAACAUUUAAUGACCUGGGAAAAUCAACAUUUGGUGGAAUGGAUGAUCCACAUAAAUUUGAUGAUUUUGCAGGCACCCAGAGGGGUACAUCAGGAUUUUCUACCAGUUAUAACCGGCCAGAAGUUGGCAAAUCAACAUUUAAUGACCUGGGAAAAUCAACAUUUGGUGGCAUGGAUGAUCCGCAUAAAUUUGAUGAUUUUGCAGAUAUCCAGAGGGGUAAAUCAGGAUUUCCUACCAGCUAUAACCGGCCAGAAGUUGACAAAUCAAUUCUUAAUAGAAUGGAUGAUCCACUAAAAUUUUGUGGUCUUCGGGAUGGCAAAUCAGUGUGUCCCACUAGUUUUGUCAGGAGAGAGGUUGGAAAAUCAAAAUUUGGCAACGCUGAUGAUUCUUUACGGACUGCUUCCCAAAUACUAUCUAUCAUGAAGCCCCCAGCUGGAUUGUCUCACUUUGCUACCCAGCUUCGUACAUCUGUGCAAUCUUGCUUGAAGCUGGAUACUGCACAUGCAAAGAACUCAGCAAUCACUCAUAAUAGGAAUGAAUUAUCAGGGAAUGCUUAUCCAACUUACAAUCAUCAGGCCAUCAUGAAACCACCAGCUUUUGAUGCUUCGGACUUGGAAUUGAUAGAUCUCCCAGGAUCUGAGAUGUGCAAUGCAAACGAGCAGAAACUAGAAUCGUCAGGCAAUCUUAACACUGUAAACUGUAAUGGUACAGGUUCUGCGCCAAUUCCGAAUGACACUAGCAUGCCAAACGUGCGAGAAGACAAAAGUGGAAGUGCAGAUCAGGUUUGCACCCUAUGCUGUCAAAAUUUUCCCUGGGGCCUUGUUCGGUUCCUUCAGAUUUGAAGGGGUUUGGAGGGGAUUGAGAGGGAUUAAAUCUCCUACAAGUCAAAAUCCACCUCAAUCCCCUUGUGGGAGGGAUUAACCGAACAAGUCCUGAGGAGCUCGGUGCAAAUAACACAGCAGAGGACCCUAAAUAUGAUGGCCCUUCUCGUACGUGUAGAGAUCCCACGAUCCAGGAUUUGAUAGAUGACUGCCCUUCUUUUGAUCUUGGCUUCUAAUGGAAGUGGAAGGGUGCCGUGCAUGGCUUGGGCGGACUGUGUCACGAAACGAUCAGAUCUCUUGAUUGCUGGCGAGAGAUCAGGCAAAAGCAGCAGUUUUUCUCAAGAAAUUAGGCGCGUUGAGCGGGUGAAGGAAUGAUCCUACGUGUGGGUGGUCACUGUACAGUUUUUUACUCUUGUCUUGCAUCCUUGUUUAUGUUAGCGAGUGAUUGCUUUACCUUUUGAGUUAUACUACUAAUAUAUAGCAUGGCCUUUCCGUUGCUUUACCUUUUGUUUUAUAAAUAUAAAGCAUGGCCUUUUGUUGAUAAAAUCAGAGACUGAAACAUGUAUUUGCAAAAAAAAAACAUGUAUUUGCAGUGAAAAGUCAUGGAUGCUGUUUAUAGAAUCGAAA